rnacentral:lncRNA from 1 species
CCACCACCUUGUUGGCGCAUCACUGAUGGUGAUUGGAUCGAUAAGGGGAGGGAUGUGGAGGGAUGGGCUCGGCGGAUCUGGAGGCCCUAGGGUUUCGAUCUGGAGGGAACGUGAUGGGCUCGGUAGAUCUGGAGGUGCUAGGGUUUUGGAGGAUAUGCGCGCAAAGCAGAGCAGUACGACGGCAGCGAGGACGGAGCACACUACUAUUACCUUUCUAGCAUCGCCUGUCC